UCCUACGGGAGGCAGCAGUAGGGAAUAUUGCUCGUUUGUGGAGACCCUGACGCAGCAACGCCGCGUGGAGGAUGAAGGUUUUCGGAUUGUAAACUCCUUUUGUUAGAGAAGAUAAUGACGGUAUCUAACGAAUAAGCACCGGCUAACUCCGUGCCAGCAGCCGCGGUAAUACGGAGGGUGCAAGCGUUACUCGGAAUCACUGGGCGUAAAGAGCGCGUAGGCGGGAUAGCAAGUCAGAUGUGAAAUCCUAUGGCUUAACCAUAGAACUGCAUUUGAAACUGUUAUUCUAGAGUAUGUGAGAGGUA
rnacentral:rRNA from 1 species